rnacentral:rRNA from 1 species
GGAGCUUGCUUUAUAUAACUUAGCAGCGAACGGGUGAGUAACACGUAGAUAAUCUAUCCUAUACUGGGGGAUAGCCCGAUGAAAGUUGGAUUAAUACCGCAUAUAGCUAUAUAGUUGCAUGAUUAUGUAGUGAAAGAUUUAUUGGUAUAGGAGGAGUCUGCGGCACAUUAGCUAGUAGGUGAGGUAAAGGCUUACCUAGGCGACGAUGUGUAGCCGGUCUGAGAGGAUGAACGGCCACAAUGGAACUGAGACACGGUCCAUACUCCUACGGGAGGCAGCAGUGGGGAAUAUUGCACAAUGGGGGAAACCCUGAUGCAGCAACGCCGCGUGAGUGAAGAAGGUUUUCGGAUUGUAAAGCUCUGUUAGCAGGGAAGAGGAAGGACGGUACCUGCAGAGGAAGCCACGGCUAACUACGUGCCAGCAGCCGCGGUAAUACGUAGGUGGCAAGCGUUGUUCGGAAUAACUGGGCGUAAAGGAUGCGUAGGCGGUUAAACAAGUUAUAUGUUAAAUAUAUAGGCUUAACCUGUAGAAAGCAUAUAAAACUGUUUAACUAGAGUGCAGGAGAGGUAAGUGGAAUUCCUAGUGUAGCGGUGAAAUGCGUAGAGAUUAGGAAGAACACCAGUGGCGAAGGCGACUUACUGGACUGUAACUGACGCUGAGGCAUGAGAGCAUGGGGAGCAAACAGGAUUAGAUACCCUGGUAGUCCAUGCUGUAAACGAUGGGUACUAGGUGUGGGUUGUGAAUAACAAUUCGUGCCGUCGCAAACGCAAUAAGUACCCCGCCUGAGGAGUACGAUCGCAA